rnacentral:rRNA from 1 species
UACAGAGGUCUCAAGCGUUGUUCGGAUUCAUUGGGCGUAAAGGGUGCGUAGGUGGCGCUGUAAGUCGGGUGUGAAAUUUCGGAGCUUAACUCCGAAACUGCAUUCGAUACUGCGGUGCUUGAGGACUGGAGAGGAGACUGGAAUUCAUGGUGUAGCAGUGAAAUGCGUAGAUAUCAUGAGGAAGACCAGUGGCGAAGGCGGGUCUCUGGACAGUUCCUGACACUGAGGCACGAAGGCCAGGGGAGCAAACGGG